UACGAAGGGGGCUAGCGUUGCUCGGAAUCACUGGGCGUAAAGGGUGCGUAGGCGGGCCUUUAAGUCAGGGGUGAAAGCCCGGGGCUCAACUCCGGAAUUGCCUUUAAGACUGCAUCGCUAGAAUUGUGGAGAGGUAAGUGGAAUUCCGAGUGUAGAGGUGAAAUUCGUAGAUAUUCGGAAGAACACCAGUGGCGAAGGCGACUUACUGGACACAUAUUGACGCUGAGGUGCGAAAGCGUGGGGAGCAAACAGG
rnacentral:rRNA from 1 species